UACGAAGGGGGCUAGCGUUGCUCGGAAUCACUGGGCGUAAAGCGCACGUAGGCGGAUUGCUAAGUCAGGGGUGAAAUCCUGGAGCUCAACUCCAGAACUGCCUUUGAUACUGGCGAUCUUGAGUCCGGGAGAGGUGAGUGGAACUGCGAGUGUAGAGGUGAAAUUCGUAGAUAUCGGGAGGAACACCAGUGGCGAAGGCGGCGAUCUGGGAAGAUACUGACGCUGAGGUGCGAAAGCGUGGGGAGCAAACAGG
rnacentral:rRNA from 1 species